UACGAAGGGGGCUAGCGUUGUUCGGAAUUACUGGGCGUAAAGGGUUUGUAGGCGGUUGAACAAGUCAGAUGUGAAAGCCCGGGGCUUAACCCCGGAAUUGCAUUUGAAACUGUUCAGCUAGAGAGUGUUAGAGGAAAGUGGAAUUCCUAGUGUAGGAGUGAAAUCCGUAGAGAUUAGGAGGAAUAUCGAUGGCGAAGGCAGCUUUCUGGGACAUUUCUGACGCUGAGAAACGAAAGCGUGGGGUAGCAAACAGG
rnacentral:rRNA from 1 species